rnacentral:rRNA from 1 species
GAUGAACGCUGGCGGCGUGCCUAAUACAUGCAAGUCGAGCGAACAGACGCGGAGCUUGCUCCGCUGACGUUAGCGGCGGACGGGUGAGUAACGCGUGGAUAACCUACCUAUAAGACUGGGAUAACUUCGGGACACCGGAGCUAAUACCGGAUAAUAUAUUGAACCGCGUGGUUCAAUGGUGAAAGACGGUUUUUCCGGCGCUUAUGGAUGGAUCCGCGCCGCAUUAGCUAGUUGGUGGGGUAGCGGCUUACCAAGGGUACGAUGCGUAGCCGGCCUGAGAGGGUGACCGGCCACAUUGGGACAGGGGUGCGGCCAGGAGGCAUACGGGAGGAAGGGGUGGAGACUAGUGGACGAUGCGCGGCGGGAUGAUGCAGGAUCUCCGCGUGCGAAAUCACGGCUUUCGGGGAGUAAAAAACUUUCACGUGUCAAGGCGCGUCUGGAAGGGAACUAAGUAAAAAAGCACCGCCUAACUACGU